ensembl:snRNA U6 U6 spliceosomal RNA
GUGCUCCCUUUGGCAACAUAUAUUCUGAAAUUGGAAUGAUAGGGAGAAGAUUAGCAUGGUCUUUGCUCAAAAAUGACAUGCAAAUUCGGGAAGGACUAAUUCCUCCCUUAAUUUU